AUUGAACGCUGGCGGCAUGCCUUACACAUGCAAGUCGAACGGCAGCAUGGAGGAGCUUGCUCCUCUGAUGGCGAGUGGCGAACGGGUGAGUAAAGCAUCGGAACGUACCGUGUAGUGGGGGAUAACGCAGCGAAAGCUGCGCUAAUACCGCAUACGCCCUGAGGGGGAAAGCGGGGGACCGUAAGGCCUCGCGCGAUUAGAGCGGCCGAUAUCUGAUUAGCUUGUUGGUGGGGUAAAAGCCCACCAAGGCGACGAUCAGUAGCUGGUCUGAGAGGACGAUCAGCCACACUGGGACUGAGACACGGCCCAGACUCCUACGGGAGGCAGCAGUGGGGAAUUUUGGACAAUGGGGGGCAACCCUGAUCCAGCAAUGCCGCGUGAGUGAAGAAGGCCUC
rnacentral:rRNA from 1 species